rnacentral:rRNA from 1 species
ACGGAGGGUGCGAGCGUUAAUCGGAAUUACUGGGCGUAAAGCGCACGCAGGUGGCUGGGUCAGUCGGUUGUGAAAUCCCCGGGCUUAACCUGGGAAUUGCGAUCGAAACUGCCCGGCUAGAGUAUGGGAGAGGGAAGUGGAAUUCCCGGUGUAGCGGUGAAAUGCAUAGAUAUCGGGAGGAACACCAGUGGCGAAGGCGGCUUCCUGGCCCAAUACUGACACUCAGGUGCGAAAGCGUGGGGAGCAAACAGG